rnacentral:ncRNA from 1 species
AAAAAGUUUGAUUCUAGCUUAAAAAUUUAUUAAAAAUUUAAUAAUACAUGUAAAUUUUUGUGGGAAAAAUAUUUUUUUUAAAUAAGAAAAUAAAUUUUAAUAAUCUCAGUAUUUAAAAUUAAAUAUUAUAGUAAUAUAGAUUUAGUAAUAUUUUAUAAUAUUAGCAAAAAUUGUGCCAGCAGCUGCGGUUAUACAAUUAAUUUAAAUAAAUUUUAUAAGUUAAUAGUUAAUUAAUAAUAUAAAUUUAAAUAUAUAAUUUUAAGGUGAAAUUUAUUUUAUAUAAAAGAUUUAUUUGUAUAAUGAAGCUAUAAAAAUUAAAUAAUAAACUAGGAUUAGAUACCCUAUUAUUUUAAUUAAUAUAAAUACUUAAGUAGUAAUAGAUAUAGGCUUGAAACUUAAAGAAUUUGGCGGUAUUUUAAUCUUUUCAGAGGAACCUGUUCUAUAAUCGAUAUUCCACGUUAAAUUUUACUAAGUUUUAUUAUUUAUAUAUCGUUGUCGAAAGAAUAUUUUUAUAAAAUUAUAAUUUUCUAAUAUUUUGAAGAAAAUAGAUGUCAAAUCAAGGUGUAGUUGAUAAUUUAGUAGAAAUGGGUUACAAUAAAUUUAUUUAAACGAAAAAAUUAUUGAAAAAUAAUUUAGAAGGAGGAUUUGAAAGUAAAUUAAUUUUAAUAAAUUUAAUUGAUUAUAGUUCUAAGAUAUGUACAUAUUGCCCGUCGCUCUUUUUAUUAAAAAAAGAUAAGUCGUAACAUAGUAGAUGUACUGGAAAGUGUAUCUAGAAAGAC